rnacentral:misc_RNA from 1 species
GAUGAAGAACGUAGCGAAAUGCGAUAAGUAAUGUGAAUUGCAGAAUUCAGUGAAUCAUCGAAUCUUUGAACGCACAUUGCGCCCGCCAGUAUUCUGGCGGGCAUGCCUGUUCGAGCGUCAUUUCAACCCUCAGGCCCCCAGUGCCUGGUGUUGGGGAUCGGCCCAGCCUUCCUGUAAGGCCGCCGGCCCCGAAAUCUAGUGGCGGUCUCGCUGUAGUCCUCCUCUGCGUAGUAGCACAACCUCGCAGUUGGAACGCGGCGGUGGCCAUACCGUUAAACACCCCACUUCUGAAAGUUGACCUCGGAUCAGGUAGGAAUACCCGCUGAACUUAAGCAUAUCAAUAAGCGGAGGA